AAUUCUCUCUAAUCUCAACAGUUGCUUAAAAUGCUUUUACGCCGCCUUUUGGUUGCUUUUAGAGCCUAGGAGCACGGAUUUUAAAUAAUGGCUGCUACAUAAUAUAAUGGCCAUAAAGUAUAAGUUUUUAAGAGGAGCAUUAUUGUUACCCACAUUAAAUAAUGGCAAAAUCAAAAGUAUUGGUAAUGAUCUUUAUUGGCUGCUAAGUAAUGGGUGAUGGCGUUACUCACAUGUGCACAAUCUUUUUUUAUUUUGUGGGAGUUGAGAGAUAGAGAGUUUGUUUUCUUUUUGGUUUCUACACUUCCCUUUCCUUUUCUCUCAAAUAUUCCAUCUUUUGCAAAUCUUCAUUUCUUGCGCUAAG
rnacentral:misc_RNA from 1 species